UACAGAGGGUGCAAGCGUUGUUCGGAAUUAUUGGGCGUAAAGGGCGCGUAGGCGGUGCGGUAAGUCUGUAGUGAAAUCUCUGGGCUCAACUCAGAGUCUGCUGCAGAAACUGCCGUGCUUGAGUGUGGGAGAGGUGAGUGGAAUUUCCGGUGGUAGCGGUGAAAUGCGUAGAUAUCGGGAGGAACACCUGUGGCGAAAGCGGCUCACUGGACCACAACUGACGCUGAGGCGCGAAAGCUAGGGGAGCAACAGG
rnacentral:rRNA from 1 species